GUGGACUCUGGGCUUUUGUUCUACUCUCGGACCAGUCCCGGGGAGGGAGGGGGCGGUAGUAAGCGUGGGAUUGACUGUGUGUGCAGCUCUGCGAUCUGGUGUGCCUGGGGAUUGGGGACGACCUGGUGCUAGCCUUGUUCCUGAAUGAAACAGGUGUGUGGGGGCUGUUUCUGACUUGGGUAGAUGGGGUGGUUCUUAGCUUAAGUGUCCCAGGAUACCUACUUGUGAAUGUGGGAGUGCAUGGGGCAUAGCGACUGUGUAGCACUGGUGUGGUGUGGUCAUGUGGUUGUGUGGCUGAAUAACAGUUACGGAUUGAGGUUUUCCUCCUUCUAUGUGACUGUGCUCUGCUCCUGCUUGACAGGAGACAUGUCAUUCUGAGACUUUGUGUGACCCUGUCCCUUUGUGUCUCUAGGUGUUUGCUCGUUUUUGUGCCAGGGUUUCAUGCCUCCAUGGCUUGUGUAUCACAGUGGUGUAUAUAUCCACAGGAUGUACAUGCACGUGUGUAUGACGGGUGUCUGCAUAUGCAUGCAAACAGCAUGUGGUCCUGUGUCUGAGGUGUGGUGUGCAUGGAGGGGUGAGUGUCCCUUGGGUCAUAGUGGACAGGGUGUGGGCAGUGAUUUGGGUGGAGGAAUGAGGCAGCUCUGGGCUGGCCUGGCCUCAUGGAAACAGAGAAAGGGGAUUCCGUGGGCUGGUGCUGGAUCAUUUGCUGCCUCCACAAGCUGCCACAGGGCCUGGUAUCCAUGGGUGGAUGAGGGAUUUGCCCUUUUGGAAGGGAGCAGUGGUUUGGGGAGGAGCUUGCUUUGACAAGAGCCUGGUUCUUCAUCUUGUCAUCUUAGGAGGGGUGAUAGAGACCCUGGUUGUGCCUAUCAUUUUGGGUCACUAAGAUGUUCAGAAGAGGGUGGGUAUAAGCCACAUGCCAUAUGGAGUCACCCUCAUGAAGGCCAGGUGUGGUAGGAGUCUGCCCUGGCCAAACCCAGGCAGGUCCACUUUGUGGAAGGAGCUGAUGGGAGGGCUCACUGUGAUCUUGGCUGGACAUGUGUCCUGAGGUCUGGCCAGUCUGUCCCAUGAGCCCUGCUCCAGGAAUGGUGAACACCUUUAUACCCAAAAAGUUUUCUGUGUGGCUGGUUUGUUAAAGGAGAAGGUGCCAGAAUCUCUCAGACUCCAAGAAUUCCAUUAAGAAGACCCUGGUUUGGAGAAGAGACAAGACCCUUGGCUACCAGGGAUCAUGGCAG
rnacentral:lncRNA from 1 species